rnacentral:rRNA from 1 species
UACAGAGGUCUCAAGCGUUGUUCGGAUUCAUUGGGCGUAAAGGGUGCGUAGGUGGCGUCGUAAGUCAGGUGUGAAAUUUCGGAGCUUAACUCCGAAACUGCAUUUGAUACUGCGGUGCUUGAGGACUGGAGAGGAGACUGGAAUUUACGGUGUAGCAGUGAAAUGCGUAGAGAUCGUAAGGAAGACCAGUGGCGAAGGCGGGUCUCUGGACAGUUCCUGACACUGAGGCACGAAGGCCAGGGGAGCAAACGGGG